CCCAUAAACACGAGGAUGAUAUCGCUGUAGUGAAGCUCUUCACCCCCAUCAUAUUUUCCAAUGAGGUGCACAGAGUCUGUCUUCCAGAAGCUACUUUUGAAGCCUUGCCUAAGAGUAAAGUGUUUGUCACUGGAUGGGGAGCACUUAAAUUAGAUGGAUUCACGGUUCCCAAAAUAGCUGUGUCCUUUGUAAAGUAAUGAAGAUUUCCAAGUAAGGUUAAGGUCCCUUUCCCAAUAUGCUACGGGAAGUUGAGGUAGAGAUCAUAAGUAAUGAUAUAUGUAAUCAAGUUCAUGUGUAUGUAUCAUCAGGAAUGAUAUGUGCUGGAUUCUUGUCAGGAAAACUAGAUGCCUGUAAGGGUGAUUCUGGAGGUCCUCUGGUUAUUGCACGUG
ensembl:lncRNA novel transcript